GACACUAUAGCUCAGUGGUAGAGCGUACGAUUGCAACCUUGCUGUUGCCAGUUGUUUGGUGGUGUAAUAUCAUCGUGAUGUCCCGUGUUCGAACCACGGUAGUGUCU